AUACGGAGGGUGCAAGCGUUGUUCGGAAUUAUUGGGCGUAAAGAGCAUGUAGGCGGACUGUUAAGUCUGGUGUGAAAGCCCGGGGCUCAACCCCGGAAGUGCAUUGGAUACUGGCAGUCUUGAGUAUGGGAGAGGAAAGUGGAAUUCCGAGUGUAGGAGUGAAAUCCGUAGAUAUUCGGAGGAACACCAGUGGCGAAGGCGGCUUUCUGGACCAAUUCUGACGCUGAGAUGCGAAAGCGUGGGGAGCGAACAGGAUUAGAUACCCUAGUAGUCC
rnacentral:rRNA from 1 species